rnacentral:rRNA from 1 species
ACUUUACUUGUGAAACUGCGAAUGGCUCAUUAAAUCAGUUAUAGUUUAUUUGAUAGUACCUUACUACUUGGAUAACCGUGGUAAUUCUAGAGCUAAUACAUGCUACAAAUCCCGACUUCUGGAAGGGAUGUAUUUAUUAGAUUAAAAACCAAUCCGGGCAACCGGUUUUCUGGUGAUUCAUAGUAACUUUUCGAAUCGCAAGGCUUUACGCCGGCGAUGGUUCAUUCAAAUUUCUGCCCUAUCAACUUUCGAUGGUACGGUAUUGGCCUACCAUGGUUUUAACGGGUAACGGGGAAUUAGGGUUCGGUUCCGGAGAGGGACCUGAGAAAUGGCUACCACAUCCAAGGAAGGCAGCAGGCGCGCAAAUUACCCAAUCUCGAUACGAGGAGGUAGUGACAAGAAAUAACAAUCCAGGGCUCUUUGAGUCUUGGAAUUGGAAUGAGAACAAUUUAAAUCCCUUAACGAGGAACAAUUGGAGGGCAAGUCUGGUGCCAGCAGCCGCGGUAAUUCCAGCUCCAAUAGCGUAUAUUAAAGUUGUUGCAGUUAAAAAGCUCGUAGUCGAAUUUUGGGCUUGGCUGAACGGUCUGCCUCACGGUAUGUACUGUUCUGGUCGGGCCUUUCCUUCUGGCGAGCCAAGGUGCUCUUGAUUGAGUGCUUUGGGGAACCAGGACUUUUACUUUGAAAAAAUUAGAGUGUUUAAAGCAACCUAUGCUYGAAUACUUCAGCAUGGAAUAAUAGAAUAGGACUUUGGUUCUAUUUUGUUGGUUUUUAGGACCGGAGUAAUGAUUAAUAGGGAUAGUUGGGGGCAUUAGUAUUUAAUUGUCAGAGGUGAAAUUCUUGGAUUUAUGAAAGACUAACUUCUGCGAAAGCAUUUGCCAAGGAUGUUUUCAUUGAUCAAGAACGAAAGUUAGGGGAUCGAAGACGAUCAGAUACCGUCGUAGUCUUAACCAUAAACUAUGCCAGCUCCGGAUCGGUCGGCGUUAAUUUAUGACCCGAUCGGCACGGUGUGAGAAAUCAAAGCUU